AUGCAAACUUUCAAAGAGAGGGUUUAAUAUGCCAUCUUUCACGGCAAUCCAAAAAGACAGGGAAAUAACAAUACUAUUGAAUAUGGCUAACCUUCAGUUCAAUGUCUGUCUCUAAUUUUUAAAAAAAAUUAUGUCGUGGCUAAAUUUUUCUAAUAUUCAAGCCGAGACUAAGCAGUUUACUUAUACUGAUAAUGUUAUUUUUCAGCUAUUACAAGCACUUAGUUAAAAGAUCAACUAAGGCAUCCUUAAAAAGUUUUAAUACUUAUUGUGCAGAUUUCUUAAACUUACAGGACUGGAAACCGUGGUCCAGUUUAAUAUUUUAAACAUAAAUCUUUAUGGUUUUAUUUUUUACCAGGUGGCUAUAACAGAGAGGAAUGUCUUCGAACAGUCGAAUGCUAUGAUCCACAUACAGAUCACUGGUCCUUUCUUGCUCCCAUGAGAACACCAAGAGCCCGAUUUCAAAUGGCUGUACUCAUGGGCCAGCUCUAUGUGGUAGGUGGAUCGAAUGGCCACUCAGAUGACCUGAGUUGUGGAGAGAUGUAUGACUCAAACAUAGAUGACUGGAUUCCUGUUCCAGAAUUGAGAACUAACCGUUGUAAUGCAGGAGUGUGUGCUCUGAAUGGAAAAUUAUACAUCGU
rnacentral:sRNA from 1 species